GGCCUCGUGGCGCAAUGGUAGCGCGUUGCUCUCCUAUUCUCCGCUUAGAUAAGCAAAGGGUGCAAGUUCGAGUCUUGCCGUGGUCG